rnacentral:rRNA from 1 species
UACGUAGGGGGCAAGCGUUGUCCGGAUUUAUUGGGCGUAAAGAGCGUGUAGGCGGCCAGGUAGGUCUGCUGUGAAAACUCGAGGCUCAACCUCGAGACGUCGGCGGAAACCCUCCAGCUAGAGUCCGGAAGAGGAGAGUGGAAUUCCUGGUGUAGCGGUGAAAUGCGCAGAUAUCAGGAAGAACACCCGUGGCGAAAGCGGCUCUCUGGGACGGUACUGACGCUGAGACGCGAAAGCGUGGGGAGCGAACAGG